GCGGAUGUGGCUCAGUUGGUAGAGCGUCACCUUGCCAAGGUGAAGGUCGCCGGUUCGAUCCCGGUCAUCCGCUCCA
rnacentral:tRNA from 2 species